rnacentral:rRNA from 1 species
GUGCCAGCCGCCGCGGUAAAACCAGCACCUCAAGUGGUCAGGAUGAUUAUUGGGCCUAAAGCAUCCGUAGCUCGUUUUGUAAGUUUUCGGUUAAAUCCAUGCGCUUAACGUAUGGGCUGCCGGGAAUACUGCAUAACUAGGAAGUGGGAGAGGUAGACGGUACUCGGUAGGAAGGGGUAAAAUCCUUUGAUCUAUUGAUGACCACCUGUGGCGAAGGCGGUCUACCAGAACACGUUCGACGGUGAGGGAUGAAAGCUGGGGGAGCAAACCGGAUUAGAUACCCUCGUAGUCC